AUUGAACGCUGGCGGCAGGCCUAACACAUGCAAGUCGAGCGGAGCGGCGGACGGGUGAGUAAUGCCUAGGAAUCUGCCUGGUAGUGGGGGAGAACGUCCGGAAACGGGCGCUAAUACCGCAUAGUAGCAGAUGAGCCUAGGUCGGAUUAGCUGGUUGGCGGGGUAAAGGCCACCAAAGGGGAAGAUCAGUAGGGGGUCUGAGAGGAUGAUCCGACACACUGGAACUGGGACACGGGCCAGAAUCCUACGGGAGGCAGCAGUGGGGAAUUUUGGACAAGGGGCGCAAGCCUGAUCCAGCCAUGCCGCGUGUCUGAAGAGGGCCUUCGGGUGGUAAAGGACUUUUGUCAGGGAAGCGGUACCUGAAGAAUAAGCACCGGCUAACUACGUGCCAGCAGCCGCGGUAAUAC
rnacentral:rRNA from 1 species